UACGUAGGGCGCAAGCGUUGUCCGGAAUUACUGGGCGUAAAGGGCUCGUAGGUGGCCAACUAAGUCAUACGUGAAAUCCCUCGGCUUAACCGGGGAACUGCGUCUGAUACUGGAUGGCUUGAGGUUGGGAGAGGGAUGCGGAAUUCCAGGUGUAGCGGUGAAAUGCGUAGAUAUCUGGAGGAACACCGGUGGCGAAGGCGGCAUCCUGGACCAAUUCUGACACUGAGGAGCGAAAGCCAGGGGAGCAAACGGG
rnacentral:rRNA from 1 species